UCAAAUGCUCAUCCUUGCUUAAAUUAAAUGUUUUCAGUUAUGUAUGAGCAACCUGAAGGCUCAGGCACGAACAAGGGGAAAGGAAAGUUGUUCGAAUGAGUUUAUAUUAUGAGUUAAUGGUUAUAGUUAGUAAGACAAUGGAAUCUAUUGUCAGAUAUUGUAAGGAAUGUAUUUGAAGGUCACGUACCUGGGGAAAGUAAACUUUGAUGUAUGUAAAUUAAGUUCGAAUUAUAUUAUUAUUUAGUAUUAUUCAGCUUAAAGAAAUGGUAUCGUGGAGAACCGAGUUCGGGU
rnacentral:lncRNA from 1 species